GCCCGCCUAGCUCAAUCGGAUAGAGCGUCAGACUCUUACUGUCCAUUCGACGUUGUGUUCGACAGGCGGGGUGAUCUGAAGGCUGCGAGUUCGACCCUCGCGGUGGGCU